CGAAAGCCUGACGGAGCAAGACCGCGUGGGGGAGGAAGGCUCUAGGGUUGUAAACCCCUUUUCUUUGGGAAGAACAAAAUGACGGUACCAAAGGAAUCAGCCUCGGCUAACUCCGUGCCAGCAGCCGCGGUAAUACGGAGGAGGCAAGCGUUAUCCGGAAUGAUUGGGCGUAAAGCGUCCGCAGGUGGCAAUGUAAGUCUGCUGUCAAAACCCAGGGCUCAACUCUGGUCAGGCAGUGGAAACUGAAUAGCUAGAGUGCCGUAGGGGUAGAGGGAAUUCCCGGUGUAGCGGUGAAAUGCGUAGAGAUCGGGAAGAACAUCGGUGGCGAAAGCGCUUUGCUAGACCGAAACUGACACUCAGGGACGAAAGCUAGGGGAGCG
rnacentral:rRNA from 1 species